AGUGAACGCUGGCGGUAGGCCUAACACAUGCAAGUCGAACGGCAGCACAGGAGAGCUUGCUCUCUGGGUGGCGAGUGGCGGACGGGUGAGGAAUACAUCGGAAUCUGCCCAGUCGUGGGGGAGAACGCAGGGAAACUUACGCUAAUACCGCAUACGACCUUCGGGUGUAAGAGGGGGAUCGCAAGACCUCUCGCGAGUGGAUGAGCCGAUGUCGGAUUAGCUAGUUGGCGGGGUAAUGGCCCACCAAGGCGACGAUCCGUAGCUGGUCUGAGAGGAUGAUCAGCCACACUGGAACUGAGACACGGUCCAGACUCCUACGGGAGGCAGCAGUGGGGAAUAUUGGACAAUGGGCGCAAGCCUGAUCCAGCCAUACCGCGUGGGUGAAGAAGGCCUUCGGGUUGUAAAGCCCUUUUGUUGGGAAAGAAAUCUUUCAGGCUAAUACCCUGGGAGGAUGACGGUACCCAAAGAAUAAGCACCGGCUAACUUCGUG
rnacentral:rRNA from 1 species